GCUGGCGGCAGGCCUAACACAUGCAAGUCGAGCGCAGUCCUUCGGGACCGAGCGGCGGACGGGUUAGUAACGCGUGGGAACAUACCCUUUUCUACGGAAUAGCCUCGGGAAACUGAGAGUAAUACCGUAUAAGCCCUUCGGGGGAAAGAUUUAUCGGGAAAGGAUUGGCCCGCGUUAGAUUAGAUAGUUGGUGGGGUAAUGGCCUACCAAGUCUACGAUCUAUAGCUGGUUUUAGAGGAUGAUCAGCAACACUGGGACUGAGACACGGCCCAGACUCCUACGGGAGGCAGCAGUGGGGAAUCUUAGACAAUGGGCGCAAGCCUGAUCUAGCCAUGCCGCGUGUGUGAUGAAGGUCUUAGGAUCGUAAAGCACUUUCGCCAGGGAUGAUAAUGACAGUACCUGGUAAAGAAACCCCGGCUAACUCCGUGCCAGCAGCCGCGGUAAUACGGAGGGGGUUAGCGUUGUUCGGAAUUACUGGGCGUAAAGCGUACGUAGGCGGAUCAGAAAGUUAGGGGUGAAAUCCCGAGGCUCAACCUCGGAACUGCCUCUAAAACUCCUGGUCUUGAGUUCGAGAGAGGUGAGUGGAAUUCCAAGUGUAGAGGUGAAAUUCGUAGAUAUUUGGAGGAACACCAGUGGCGAAGGCGGCUCACUGGCUCGAUACUGACGCUGAGGUACGAAAGUGUGGGGAGCAAACAGGAUUAGAUACCCUGGUAGUCCACACCGUAAACGAUGAAUGCCAGUCGUCGGGCAGUAUACUGUUCGGUGACACACCUAACGGAUUAAGCAUCCG
rnacentral:rRNA from 1 species